UGAAUAGCCAUUGUUGGGGACAUUACACCUUCAGAUGGGAUUUCAAAGGAAGAGAAGAGUCGACAACAACGAGAAGCAUUAGACCACAUGUGCAAAUUACUUGGUGGAGGGUCAAGAGCCCAGGAAAUAGGUGAGUUGUGGUUGGAAUAUGAGGAGAAUUCUUCACCAGAGGCUAAAAUUGUUAAGGACCUUGACAAGGUGGAGAUGAUACUUCAAGCCUUAGAAUAUGAAAAUGGUAAGGCUUUCUUAUGUUUAUAUUUUAUUCUCAAUUUUGUAUAAUUG